rnacentral:rRNA from 1 species
GACGAACGCUGGCGGCGUGCCUAAUACAUGCAAGUAGAACGCUGAAGGAGGAGCUUGCUCUUCUGGAUGAGUUGCGAACGGGUGAGUAACGCGUAGGUAACCUGCCUGGUAGCGGGGGAUAACUAUUGGAAACGAUAGCUAAUACCGCAUAACAGUAGAUGUUGCAUGACAUUUACUUAAAAGGUGCAAUUGCAUCACUACCAGAUGGACCUGCGUUGUAUUAGCUAGUUGGUGGGGUAACGGCUCACCAAGGCGACGAUACAUAGCCGACCUGAGAGGGGGAUCGGCCACACUGGGACUGAGACACGGCCCAGACUCCUACGGGAGGCAGCAGUAGGGAAUCUUCGGCAAUGGACGGAAGUCUGACCGAGCAACGCCGCGUGAGUGAAGAAGGUUUUCGGAUCGUAAAGCUCUGUUGUAAGAGAAGAACGAGUGUGGGAGUGGAAAGUUCACACUGUGGCGGUAUCUUACCAGAAAGGGACGGCUAACUACGUG